rnacentral:rRNA from 1 species
GAGAAGAUAGUGGCGAACGGGUGAGUAACAACGUGGGUAACCGUGCCCGAUAAGAGGGGGGAUAACAUCCGGAAACGGGUGCUAAUACCGCAUAGUUUUCUUGAUCGCAUGAUUGAGAAAGGAAAGACGGCCUUUGUGCUGUCGCUUAUGGAUGGACCCGCGGCGUAUUAGUUAGUUGGUGAGGUAACGGCUCACCAAGACGAUGAUACGUAGCCGACCUGAGAGGGUGAUCGGCCACAUUGGGACUGAGACACGGCCCAAACUCCUACGGGAGGCAGCAGUAGGGAAUCUUCCGCAAUGGACGAAAGUCUGACGGAGCAGCGCCGCGUGAGUGAAGAAAGGUUUUCGGAUCGUAAACUCUGUUGUCAGAGAAGAACAAGUUGGAGAGUAACUGCUCCAGCCUUGACGGUAUCUGACCAGAAAGCCACGGCUAACUACGUGCCAGCCGCAGC